AGAUUGAACGCUGGCGGCAUGCUUUACACAUGCAAGUCGAACGGUAACAGGCCGCAAGGUGCUGACGAGUGGCGAACGGGUGAGUAAUGCAUCGGAACGUGCCCAGUCGUGGGGGAUAACGCAGCGAAAGCUGUGCUAAUACCGCAUACGAUCUAUGGAUGAAAGGCGGGGGACCGAAAGGCCUCGCGCGAUUGGAGCGGCCGAUGUCAGAUUAGCUAGGUUGGUAGGGGUAAACGCCCCACCGAAGGCGAACGAUCGUAGUAGCGUUCGGUACUGAGACGGACGACCCAGCCCACUACGUAGGAACU
rnacentral:rRNA from 1 species